GGAGCAGUGGCUCAGUGGUAGAGCGGUAGAUUGCAAUAUUUAUCAACAUGCAGCCAUCUAUAGGUCCCGUGUUCGAUCCACGGCUGUUCCU